GAUGAACGCUGGCGGCGUGCCUAAUACAUGCAAGUCGAGCGAACGGACGAGAAGCUUGCUUCUCUGAUGUUAGCGGCGGACGGGUGAGUAACACGUGGAUAACCUACCUAUAAGACUGGGAUAACUUCGGGAAACCGUAGCUAAUACCGGAUAAUAUUUUGAACCGCAUGGUUCAAAAGUGAAAGACGGUCUUGCUGUCACUUAUAGAUGGAUCCGCGCUGCAUUAGCUAGUUGGUAAGGUAACGGCUUACCAAGGCAACGAUGCAUAGCCGACCUGAGAGGGUGAUCGGCCACACUGGAACUGAGACACGGUCCAGACUCCUACGGGAGGCAGCAGUAGGGAAUCUUCCGCAAUGGGCGAAAGCCUGACGGAGCAACGCCGCGUGAGUGAUGAAGGUCUUCGGAUCGUAAAACUCUGUUAUUAGGGAAGAACAUAUGUGUAAGUAACUGUGCACAUCUUGACGGUACCUAAUCAGAAAGCCACGGCUAACUACAUG
rnacentral:rRNA from 1 species